rnacentral:lncRNA from 1 species
UAAUUGUUCUUCUUUUACUUUACAUCUCUCAAACAUGGCGAAACCCCGUCUCUACUAAAAAAUACAAAAAUUAGCCAGGUAUCAUGGUACAUGCCUGUAAUCAUAGCUAUUUGGGAGACUGAGGUGUAAGAAUCACUUGAACCCGGGAGGUGGAGGUUGCAGUGAGCUGAGAUCGCCCCAUUGCACUACAGCCUGGGUGACAGGGUGAGAUUCUGUCUGAAAAAAUAAACAAACAACAAAAAACCCUCACUUAUAUCUAAAACAAAUAAUAUCCAGAAUAUACAAACUCUACUAUAAGAAAACAAUAAACUCAAUUUUAAAAAUAAGUGAAAGAUCUGCAGAGAUGCUUCAUCAGAGAAGAUAUAUUGAUGGCAAACAUGCACGUCAAAGAUUAUCAACAUCAUAUGUCACUGGAGACUUUAAAUUAGAGCAACCAUGAGAUACUACUAUUGUGGUACAAUAAGAAAUAAAUUUGGUCUUUGUCCCCAGUUUCUGGCACAGAGCUUCUAAAACCCUUGAAAUUCUUGAGUGAUAAGAAUGUCAUUUGUUAUUUACAAAAAGUCCCUUUUGAUCAUGCCUGGGUUUAUAAUGAGGUACCUAAGGGUAGAGCCCCUAGAUAGCCUCAGGAUGGGGCUGGUUACCAGAAAGACCAAGUGAUUAGAAGGUUAGAACUUUCAACCCUGUACGCUGACCUCUGGGAAGUUGCAAGGGGAGUAGGGGAGGGACUGGAGAUUAGGCUCUAUACAAACUUUUGAGCAUGAGAUUUGAUCAACUGCCAGGUUGGUGCAUGUAUCAAGUUGCUUGGGAGGCUUCCAUGCCUGGAGAGGGCAUGGAAGCUCUUUACACCUUCCCCUCCAUCCCCCAUAACUUGCCCUAUGGCUAUUUCUGUGUUGUAUCCUUUAUGAUAAGCCAGUAAACAUAAGCCAAGUGUUUCUCUAAAUUAGAAUGACCAAAUAAGCCAUUCUAGCAGGUUAAUGAACCUGAGGAGAGGAUUGUGGGAACCCCAUGAAUUUAUAGCUAGUCAGUCAGAAGGCCAAGUGUUUGGGGACUUGCAGUUGGCUUCUGAAGUGGGGGCAGCCUUGUGGGACUGAGCCCUUAACUUGUGUGUGUGAUGUUAACUCCAGGUAGAUAGUGUCAAGAUUUAAUUGAAUUUUAGUGUGGAAAAAAACCCACCUCUGGGAUCAGAAGUGAAUGUUGUGUGAGUAUAGAGAAACAGUUUUUGUUCUCAGAAUUACACACCUAUUAGAAUGGCUAAAAUCCAAAACACUGACAGCAUCAAAUGCUGGCAAGGAUGUGGUGCAACAGGAAUGCUCAUUCAUUGCUGGUGGAAACGCAAAACGAUACAGC